rnacentral:misc_RNA from 1 species
UAAAAUAGAUGUAUACCAUGUCAAGCAAUUGUAUCAAUCCAAGAUAUAAACUACUUACAGAAAUUGACAGAAAAAUGUAAAUGUUAUGCAAAAGAAAAAUCCACCAGCCCUGUUUAUGACGGUUUCAACCAUUUUAAAAUCAAACUUAAUUCAUAUGGAACACCUAAAUGGCCAGAUGUCAAUGGCCUCUUUCCUAAAAAUAUGGAAUUUUCUGAACUCAUCAGCUCAGAAGCUGAUGAGAUCAUCCUUUGAAGAUUGCUGUUUCUUUGGGUCCUGUGCACCUUCAGAUGUGCCUCCACUUUUCUUACCAAAGAUCAUUUCAUCAAGAUCAUCCAUCAUGUCAUCAUUGCUUCCCCCAUGAGUACCCCGUGAACCUGCUGGCUUCCUAAUUAAGGCAUCUUCUCUUGCAUGGACGGGUGAAUCAUCAGGCUCAACAGCAACAGGAA